AGAGUAUCUGCAAUUUCAUGUAAUUUCAAACCCAAUGCAUUUUAGGUAUGCCCUAGGUUUGAUUUUUCCAAAUUUCUCAUGUAAUGCAUUCUAGAAAUGUAUGCCCUAGGUUCCAAGUUUCUCAUGUAAUGCAUUCUGAAAAUGUAUGCCCUAGGUUCGAUUAUUCCAAAUUUCUCAUGUAAUGCAUUAUGCAUUUAGAACAGCAAAGAACAGUUUUAUACAUAUAACAAUGGCUUCUUGUUAAAAUCUCCAAACUGUUCCAGAUAUGCCUUAGUUACCUUCCAUUCAUAUAUUCACAGCAUAAAUGCCAAGACCCCCUUCGCAGAUUGCAGAUUGCAGAUUGCAGAUUGCAGAUUGCAGAUUGCAAAUUGGAGAUUGGAGAUUGGAGCCUAUACACACCCAAGCUCAUGGGUUGUAUUGUUGAUUCUAAUGAAAGAUGUGUUAAGAGGGAACCAAUUGUAGAGGAGAGGAAGCACUUGAUCAUAGUAGUAGGAGGGACAGGGGAUGAACUUACUAAGCUAGAAGUCCAAGGAAGUUGAAUGCAAAGACAACUAGCUUUUUUCACUUGAAGUUCUACAUGAAGCUCUUGGUACGGCAUCUGAUGAUAUCGCUCUCACUUUUAUGUCAAACAAACAAAAGGAUUUAUUGGAUGCCAUCGCCAGAGUAUUCUCUAAUCUGCAUCAAAGAUGCUAUGUUAGACAUCUAUACCAGAACUUCAAGUAAGUUUUUUCUGGACAACUAUUUAAGAAGCACUUUUGGUCAGCAGCAUUAGCAACAACAGUCAUCCAAUUUGAGAAGGAAAUGAAUGCCAUCAAGGAGAUAUCCAAUGAUCGAUGCAUAUGAUUGGAUGAUUAGUACUCCUACAAAGUUAUGUGUAAGACAUGCAUUUGAUUUUGCUGCUAAGAGUCUUCAGAUAACCAAUAAUAUGAUCGAGUCGUUCAACCAUUGGCUAGCAGCUGUGAGAGACAAGCUUAUUAUGUUGAUAGUUGAUGAGAUAAGGCUGAAGAUAAUGAGUAGGAUGCUUAAGAUGUUUCAGAAGGGUUGCAGCUAUCCAGUAUCUGGUCUAAUCACACCUGAUAUGAAGAAAAAUUUAGACAAGGUACAACAGACAGCAAGAGAAUGCAUUAUGCACCAAGUUAAUACAUAAGCAUUUGAGGGGGUAGAUAUACAUGGUAUCAAGGUUGUGGUCAAUUUGUUAGUUAAGGCAUGUCGUUGUAGGUUGUGGGAUUGUACGGGGUUGCCAUGCUAACAUGUAACAGCAGCUAUCACACACAGCAUGGGGUCACUUGAAGCUUAUUGCAAUCCAUACUAUAGUGUCAACAUGUAUCUUUAGGCAUAUAAUGAGUUCAUCGAACCACUACCAGCAUUGGUUGAUUUGGUAAUUGAUGGUUCUUCUGGGAUUGUCCAACCUCCAUUUCUUAAGAGGAGGCUCAGUAGACCCCGAAAAAGUAGAAAAAGGGAAUUUGAUGAGGUCUUGCUAGGAAAAAAAUUUCAAAUGCGAGAUGUGAUGUCUGCAACCUACAUGAUCACAACAUGAGAACAUGUCCUCGCAAUGACGGACCACCAAAGAAAAAGAACAAAAUA